rnacentral:rRNA from 1 species
AACGAAAAGAACSKUACCAGGUCUUGACAUCCCUAUGAAUCGUCUAGAGAUAGGCGCGGCCUUCGGGACAGAGGAGACAGGUGGUGCAUGGUUGUCGUCAGCUCGUGUCGUGAGAUGUUGGGYUAAGUCCCGCAACGAGCGCAACCCUUGACUUUAGUUGCCAGCAGGUCAAGCUGGGCACUCUAGAGUGACUKCCGGUGACAAACCGGAGGAAGGUGGGGAUGACGUCAAAUCAUCAUGCCCCUUAUGACCUGGGCUACACACGUACUACAMYSGCCCSGUUCUCGGGAAGCGAAGCCGCKAGCGGAGCC